rnacentral:lncRNA from 1 species
ACGAGCCUUCUUCGUCACAUUUGGCAGAACAAGUAUUGUCAUUCUAUAAUUAGUAUUAGUACUUUUUUUGAUAUAAUGGAUUUGAUAUUGUGUGUGAAGUUGAAGUUGAUUAAUUAAUCGUAUUUAGUAAUUUUUUGUACAUAAUGUGAAUUAGUAUGCCGUUAUUAGUAAAUAGUAACUAGUAAAUAAUAAUAGUAAUAAUAAUAGUAAAUUGUAAUAGUAAAUAGUAAAUAGCAAUAGUACAUAGUAAUUUUAGUAUUUAGUAAUUAAUAGUAAUAGUAUAUAGUAAUAAGUAGUAGUAAAUAGUAAUCAACAGUGACAUAGUAAAUAUUAAAUAAUAGUAACAAUACUAGUAAUUAGUAAUUACAAGUUAAUAGAGAACCGACUCUUUAAGGUUGGGAGGUUGAAAGUUGUACCCAUAUUAGAGUUUUUAUACAAGUCUCUUCCAAAUGAUGCACCGGAAGAAUUAGUUUGCCAGUAUGUUAGGUGCUAUAUUUUGAUCUUAUUUGGGAGACAGUUGUUUGCCGACACGUGGCAAUAUUGUCAAUUGUCUUUGGUUAGAUUACAUCUAACACAGAGGGUAUGAGCCAAUACAGUUAGUGCAGUGCCAUACUUGCGUAUUUAUACUCUCUUCUUUGCAAAAUAUCGCAGGCAUCAACGAGCUGCGCUACUUGCCCAUAUGUGCUUCUAUAGGUGAGAAUGGAAUAGCUUUUGGAUGUUUGAGCAUCUUUAUUUCAGUCAAAUACAUAAAUGAUAUGAUUUGGACAAUUUUUUUCUUUGUUAACAGUUAUGGGCAUGGGAGAGAAUGCCCAAAAUUCGCUCCGCCAUAUUGGUUCCCACUACACAAGGAAAUGAAUUUCUUAAAGGCGGUCAGUGGGCCGGCAGCCGUGCAACAAAAUAGAUGCUCUCGUAUGUCA